GCUGGGUGUGGUGGCUCAUGCCUGUAGUCCCAGCUCCUUGGGAGGCUGAGGUGAGGGGACCGCUCGAUCCCAGGAGUUUGGCAUUCAUUGGAGACCUCCCAGGAGCAGGGGACCACCAGAUUGCCUAAGGAGAGGUGAACCGGCCCAGGCCAGACACGGAGCAGGUCAAAGCUCUCGAGCUGAUCAGCAGUGGGAUGACACCUGUGAAGAGCCUCCGCCCUCCAGCCU
rnacentral:SRP_RNA from 1 species